GUCCAUUCGAGGACAUUCCAUAAAUUAGAUCGAGACAAAGAAGAUUAACAUAGCCCCUACGUAAGGAUGACACACAAAAAUCAAAAAAUGAUCCAAAUUUUA